CCCCUCUCAGGAUCUCACCUGGAGAGUUCCCAGUACUCUACCAGUCUCGACUACAGGAGGGAAAGUCAGGCAGAGUCAUAUCCAUUCCAUUCCUAGCUUGGGCGGCAGUGGCUAGCGAGUGGAAGGCAAUCUGCUACAAGU
rnacentral:snoRNA from 13 species